UGAGUGCUGGGGUUACAGGUGAU
rnacentral:piRNA from 1 species